AUCGCGCCGGACGGCUUCAUGGAGCAUGCGGUGGCCGAGAACGUUGUCGCCGGCAACGCGAUGUCACGCCGCGCGCAGUACCAGUUCGGCAGCGCGCUGCCGGUCGGAGAAAAGUCGCAGAUCGAUACGGGCCNNNNNNNNNNNNCGCGGGGAUCGAUUUCGCUGAUCCCGCCGAACGAUGUGAUCAAGCAACCUUCCGAGAAACGCACUGUCGAUGGCGUCGACAUCGAGUUUCAUCUGGUGCCGGGCUCCGAAGCGCCCUCCGAGAUGAUCAUGUACUUCCCGCAGUUCAAACUUCUGAACAUGGCGGAAGACGCCACCCACAACAUGCACAAUCUCUACACCAUUCGCGGCGCGGAAAUCCGUGACGGCCGGUUGUGGUCGCGUUACAUCAACGAU
rnacentral:misc_RNA from 1 species